GUACGUGGGAAAACAUGCGCCGUGAGAGCAGCACAAUGACGGCAUUUCACUGUACUUGCACUUGCCAGGCAUUCCAGCGCGCCCUGCCUACGAGGCUAACAAAUGGGCUUCAACAGGAGAUAGCACAGGCUCGGGAAAGCUCUCCUACCCCACCCCCUUUUGUGCUUACACAAAACGGUCAAUUAUGUCCUUCUGAAACAGAGGCCAGGUCUGUUCUCAAAUACCAUGCUUUGGAGGAGGUAUGAUUACUUAAGCGAGUUCAGGUGGCCUAGAGAAAGGCAAAAAGGCAAAACAGUACCUUUACAGACUGCAAAACAUCGCUAAAAGCAUGAACAAUCAUCUCUGAAGGAAGCUGACUACCCAGAGGCCAGCACACUCUUCUCCCUUUCCAGAGAGCUUCCAUUUUAUUUGGGUGUCUACCCUGACCUCACAUGACUCAGGAUUAAAUUCUGAAUCAUCCAAGCCAGUCAUCGAAAUUCCAGUUCCCUUGCCAGCUCUUGGUUUUAGGAAGAGACGAAUGACUCAAUCCUGGUGAAUAAAAUGAGAGAGGAAUUUAUCUGAGGUUUUCUAGGAAGGGCUUCCCUGCUGAUUAAACAUACACACACCCUCUUGAACAUCAUUGUAUCUGCCUAUGAUAACUGAAACCGUGACAGCCUCCUUGGGACCUCAAGGGGAACUGGCCAGGGGUAAGGAGAGGAUGCAGUGCACACAGAUGGAAAAGCCUGUGAUUCCGAAGACAUCAUUGAGCUACUGAAGAAAGCAACCCUGGAUUCCUCCUGCCUCAGAAGAUCUUAUUAUGGGACAUAAUUUUCCUUAAUUGUUUAAUCAAUUUUGCAAUGGAUUUCCUAUUACUUGCAGCACUCAAAUGGAUUUUUAUUAGUUCUAUAUACACAAAUCUUACUAAUUUUUUUCAUGAAAUAUCUAGAGACUAUCUAUGUGAAUGGUGAGCAUUUCUUAUAAUAAAACUGACUAUACCAUGCACAUUUAUGCUAGGAAAAUUGCAAGCCAAAAUAAAGAAAAUGUAAUUUAUUUGUUAUCUACUUAGAUUUUCCUUUCAGGAGAGAUGAAUAUGUGGAUUCACCUGGUUGCAAAAUUUUGUCAAGAUGGG
rnacentral:lncRNA from 1 species